ACGCCGCUCCACGGUCAGAAGGAAGUCGAGCUCGAGCCCAGCCCCCCUCUUGUAAACGUUGCCGCGUGCGCGCUCCGUUGUCUGUUCACGUACGCGUUGAUGUAGCAACGCUAAUCCAGCAAGCUGGAGGCCAAUCUGUUCCCUGACACCGUUUGGGUUACAGUGACAAGGGCCGUGUCUGAGCCACGACUUGAGGAAGAUAAUAUUACAGUUCUACUGAAAAAGCCCAAUGCAGAAUGGGCCUGAAGCCAACCGGUACAAAUUCUGGGGUGAUACCGUAACAGAUGGGAGCCGGUAUAAAGUUGAAACAAGGUCAGUCUGACUUUGAGUGAUAAAGCUGUGGGCACAGCUCAUAGCAGUGUUUUAAAGUUGACUUAUGAAAACAGAUUGUGUGGUCAGAAGAAACUCUUCAGACCAUAUUGUACCAUUUUUGUACAAGCUCCUUUGUCUGGAUUGCCCUAGGCAGAAACGACAGACGGAAAAUAAGAGAAUACAAAAAUUCAUUGUUAAGUCGGUUAAGUGAUCAGCAGAAUGGCCGAUGUAAAGUUUCCAUUGUUGUCUAUGUUCUUGCACAGUUGGUUUUUAUUGUGUUCACCUUGAUUUCAUGUUAAGAGCUGAUGUUGUCUUCCAACACACAAGUGAUGCAGAGAAGGUCUAAGAACGUACCGGCCCCCAUAUAGAGAUUAAAUCGAGUGCUGAACUUUGCCAUCACAUCUA